CUCAUUGUUGUCUAAGGUUUUGGAUUAAUUCCUCCCAGGAUAGAAGGGAAUAACUAUUCUGUAAUACUGGCAAUCGAAAUUACAGAAUUUCAGCAAACUCAACAGACAGACCAAAUCACACAUGACACUUUAUUUAUUUAGAAAAACAAUGCAACAACGUAGGAAAGAGGGAAGAAGUUCUCAAAUUUUCUAUGUACGAAAAUUGAGAUUAAGCCUCUAAAUUUAUAGACUAUGAAAAGGUGAUAUGAAGAGGUGCAACUCAAAAGGUGCCUCUUCCGUUUCCCAUUCACCCCUUUUAAAGGAAAAAACAACAACAUAUACCAUUUGUUUCGUCGCAAAAUAUGACUAUAGGAGGAGGAGGAUCGACUUCAAGUCCUUCUCGCACUGUAGUAGGCCGAGGAUCGCCUAACCUCAAUUUUUUAAACACGAAUAGAGGAAUCAAAUUGGUACUCGUCCCAAGAUCACACAAAACUCUCCCAACUACAUGCUUACUAAUUGAGAUCUGAAUAGUAAAUCUCCCUGGAUCAUUCAACUUUUGAGGUAACAUGCUUUGAAUUAUGGAACUCCAGUCUUCUAAGAGUGCCAUCGUCUCGAACUCGGCUAACAUCCAUUUAUUUGCUACAAUAUUUUUUAUGUAUUUUUUAUAUUUGGGAACUUCUUACAAGAUAUCCACCAAUAAAAUGUUGACUUGCACCUGUUUUAGAAUAUCCAGGAACUUCUUGUAUGAGGCAUUAUCCUUCACUUUUUCCAAACUUUGUGGAAGAGAAAAUUUCUACCAUUACUUAAUGUCACGGUACUAACAUAAGACUUAGGAUUCGGCUCAGUGUCACUUGGAAGAACCCCCACUGGUUGGAUAUUUUAGGCUCUAGAAAGUUGCCCCAUUUGUCUUUCCAUACUGCUGAUAGUAGUAGCUUGAUUCUAAUUAUCAUCCAUUAUCUUCUUAAGCAUCGGAUUCAUGGACUGAUCAACCUAAGGCGAGCGGAACUAUUGUUAUUGAGCUUGUGGCAUGUAGUGAUUUUUUAUUCUCUUGAUUUCAGCUCCAUGAAAAACUCGGGUGCUUUGAGAUUGUAAGUGUUCCCAUACUAAUUUGCUUGGCCUCUGUUUGCAUUACCUAUAAAACAUACUAACUACGGAUUUGCGGAGCGUAUAUUGCUUGUGUGGCCUUCGCCACAUACUUCACAAAAUAAUUACAGUUGUUGUACUGGUUGAACCUACUGUUUAUUCAAAACCACAGCCAUUUUGUUGAAUUGAUUCGCCAAGGAGGCCACUUGUGCCGAUAAUGUAGAAACGACAUCUAACUCAAGAACCCCCAGCAGCCUUAUGAAUUGUGCAUGUGUUUGCUUCUCCUUGCCAGUCCAGAUUGUUGUUCGAGAACCUAUUCAAGAAUGAAUAGAUCUCAUCAAAACGCUUCUCUAACACUUGACCACCUACAGCAACAUCUACCACUAUUUUAGUUUCUAGAUGAAGUCCUUCGAUAAAAGUGUGAUCUAACACCUCAUUAGAAAUAUCUACCACUAUUUUAGUUUCUAGAUGAAGUCAUUCGAUAAAAGUGUGAUCUAACACCUCAUUAGUUUGAUUGUGGUGCAGGAAAUCUUGAAACAAACACUUGAACCUCUCCCAAGAUGAAUAUAGGAACGCUCCCUACUGUUUAAAGGUAAAUAUUUCAUUUUCGAUCUUUGAUGUAUUACCGGAUGGGAAAAACCUUGCCAAGAACUUUUGAGCUAGAUCAUUCUAUAAUGUAAUAGAGUUUGCUGGUCCAGCUUUCAACCACCAUUUAGCCUCGCCCAACAGAAACAACAACAACAACAACAACAACAACAAUUACCCAGUAUACUCCCACCAGGUGGAGUCUGGUGAGGGUAAUAUGUAGACAAGCCUCGCCCAACAGAAAGAAAAGGAAUAAUGUGAGUCGCAUAUAGUCCCGUGUGACUCCAUUCAUGAUAUAAACAUCACUGAUCUCCAGGAAGUUCAGGAUGUAGGAUCAUUAUGUGGUAACCCCAUGAACUGACCAUUCGCGUGUUAGCAACUGGAUCAUACUCUAUUUCAUCUCAAAGUUCCAAGUGGUUCUGGUAUUAACAAUACUCAAGGUGACAUUAAUUAUGUUGUGCAUCACCACCUCUUGCACCGUCAUUGGUUGUGGAAUUUUUCGUCUUAACUUGUAGUUGAAUGAGUGCCUGAGAGCUAUUUGCUUCCCUCGGUUCUUCUCAACUUUCUGCGAAAUAUUCUCUCAGUUUACAAGUCAAAUCUUAAAGUCUGUCUAGGCUCCUAACUCGUUGAAUUAAAGAAAAGUACCCGUGAUCAAUCACAACCAAAAAGAAAAAUUAAACUAGACUAGAUAACAUAUAAGAGUUAAAUCUGGUAAAGCAGUUAAUGUCAAAGUAUGCAAUUGCGCCAAAAACUUGUUACUCGCCAAGAUGCACACAUAAGUAUACGUGAUCAAAAGGUAAUAAAG
rnacentral:lncRNA from 1 species